rnacentral:misc_RNA from 1 species
GUAUUGUAAAACUACAAAAAUUCUGGGAUUCAAAAUGGUUGAACUGAAACAUGGGGACCCAACUGAAAUCCAGAGCUAAUUCAGAGGAUGAUUAGUACAAUUAUCCUUACUUUUUAUACUUAUAGUGGCUUAGUUUACUGGAGUAGGCAUAUUUGCAUAUAUUUGUUCACAUGUGUAUGCAGACACUCAUACUCAUUUUCUGGCUGCUCAUGCAUAUUAUGCACAACUUUAAAUCAGAAUGCAUACAGAACAAAAGGAUGAGUCUACAACUCCGCAAAAUUCUUCUUUUAAUUUGUUAAAUUGCUCAGAAUUUCAAUUUCCAUAGAAACUUG